rnacentral:rRNA from 1 species
UGACUGCGUACCUUUUGUAUAAUGGGUCAGCGACUUAUAUUCUGUAGCAAGGUUAACCGUAUAGGGGAGCCGGAGGGAAACCGAGUCUUAACCGGGCGUUAAGUUGCAGGGUAUAGACCCGAAACCCGGUGAUCUAGCCAUGGGCAGGUUGAAGGUUGGGUAACACUAACUGGAGGACCGAACCGACUAAUGUUGAAAAAUUAGCGGAUGACCUGUGGCUGGGGGUGAAAGGCCAAUCAAACCGGGAGAUAGCUGGUUCUCCCCGAAAGCUAUUUAGGUAGCGCCUCGUGAAUUCAUCUCCGGGGGUAGAGCACUGUUUCGGCUAGGGGGCCAUCCCGGCUUACCAACCCGAUGCAAACUGCGAAUACCGGAGAAUGUUAUCACGGGAGACACACGGCGGGUGCUAACGUCCGUCGUGAAGAGGGAAACAACCCAGACCGCCAGCUAAGGUCCCAAAGUCAUGGUUAAGUGGGAAACGAUGUGGGAAGGCCCAGACAGCCAGGAUGUUGGCUUAGAAGCAGCCAUCAUUUAAAGAAAGCGUAAUAGCUCACUGGUCGAGUCGGCCUGCGCGGAAGAUGUAACGGGGCUAAACCAU